rnacentral:ribozyme from 1 species
GAAAGAAGAAGAAUAGGUGAAGGAUGUAGCCUAUUUCUUUUUCUCCCCAUUUUUCAGUUUUUUCUCUUCUCUUUCUCGGUAUUU